rnacentral:lncRNA from 1 species
GAUCAGAUUGGAGGUCAGGAAAGAGCCCCAGUCAGUCUGGAAUAGAGACUCUGCGCAGAAAGUCAGUGGAGUCAAUGACCACCCAAAGUUUAAGGAGAUUCUCCAAACCCAACCGCUUUGAUAAGAAGUUCCUUAUUUUUGGCUCAAAACCUGAAGAGCAGCAGGACAGUGUUCCAUUUAAAGCCUCGAUCACCAGUAUUCUGUGGAAAGCCA